rnacentral:sRNA from 1 species
GCCGGGCACAGUGGCACGAGCCUGUAAUCCAAGUCACCUAGGAGGCUGAGGCUGGAGGAUUGCGGGUUUCAGGCCAGCCUCAGCCACUGAGAGAGGCCCUAAGCAACUUAGCGAGACCCUGUCUCAA